rnacentral:tRNA from 1 species
GCGGGUGUAGUUCAUUGGUAGAAUGCGACCUUCCCAAUGUUGAGAGGCGAGUUCGAUUCUCGUCACCCGCU